AUUCAACUACGAGACUGUUGGAAGUAUUAAAGAGGUAACUGCUCCUUGCCAGCUUUCUGCAGCUAUAGUCAUUUACUUAUUUUGUGUGUAUUCAUUUUCUGCUUGAAGUAUUGAUCGAGUUUUCUUUUGGUUAUUGAUUUGGGCUGCAGAUCACUGAUAUCAUGGAACAUAAUAUGGAUCGUGAAACAUUCUCGGUUGUUGUAAUGAACAACGGUGUUCCAAAAAGGCGUUUUAUAACUCCAGAGGCAGUCAGUGAAAAAAAUGUAAAAUAGUUUAGUUUAGCAACACAGUCACAGCACAAUGAUGGCAGACAGUUACUUCAGGGUGUUUUCUUUUAGAAUGUUCGUUGUUCCUCUUGUAAUUGUAUGGUAACAAUUGACGUGUUUUGAAUGUUUGGAAAUUGAGUUUUGAGGUGUCUGAAAUAUUUUUGUUUU
rnacentral:lncRNA from 1 species